AUUGAACGCUGGCGGCAGGCCUAACACAUGCAAGUCGGACGGUAGCACAGAGGAGCUUGCUCCUCGGGUGACGAGUGGCGGACGGGUGAGUAAUGUCUGGGGAUCUGCCCGAUAGAGGGGGAUAACCACUGGAAACGGUGGCUAAUACCGCAUAACGUCGCAAGACCAAAGAGGGGGACCUUCGGGCCUCUCACUAUCGGAUGAACCCAGAUGGGAUUAGCUAGUAGGCGGGGUAACGGCCCACCUAGGCGACGAUCCCUAGCUGGUCUGACAGGAGGACCAGCCACACUGGAACGGAGACACGGUCCAGACUCCUGCGGGAGGCAGCAGUGGGGAAUAUUGCACAAUGGGCGCAAGCCUGAUGCAGCCAUGCCGCGUGUAUGAAGAAGGCCUUCGGGUUGUAAAGUACUUUCAGCGGGGAGGAAGGCGAUGUGGUUAAUAACCGCGUCGAUUGACGUUACCCGCAGAAGAAGCACCGGCUAACUCCGUGCCAGCCGCCGCCGUAA
rnacentral:rRNA from 1 species